GACGAACGCUGGCGGCGUGCCUAAUACAUGCAAGUAGAACGCUGAAGGAGGAGCUUGCUUCUCUGGAUGAGUUGCGAACGGGUGAGUAACGCGUAGGUAACCUGCCUGGUAGCGGGGGAUAACUAUUGGAAACGAUAGCUAAUACCGCAUAAUAGUAGAUGUCGCAUGACAUUUGCUUAAAAGGUGCAAUUGCAUCACUACCAGAUGGACCUGCGUUGUAUUAGCUAGUUGGUGAGGUAACGGCUCACCAAGGCAACGAUACAUAGCCGACCUGAGAGGGUGAUCGGCCACACUGGGACUGGGACACGGCCCAGACUCCUACGGGAGGCAGCAGUAGGGAAUCUUCGGCAAUGGACGGAAGUCUGACCGAGCAACGCCGCGUGAGUGAAGAAGGUUUUCGGAUCGUAAAGCUCUGUUGUAAGAGAAGAACGAGUGUGAGAGUGGAAAGUUCACACUGUGACGGUAUCUUACCAGAAAGGGACGGCUAACUACGUG
rnacentral:rRNA from 1 species